rnacentral:lncRNA from 9 species
GAUAGUAACAACUCUACUGUCCUAAGUACAGAUUGCUGCAGUACACAGUAACAGCACUUCCAUCCAGAGCCCAAGACUCAAAGCGAAAAUACUGCAGAGCUUAAAUGAAAGUUGCUGCUGAUAUCUUAACCAGGAGGCAUGGAAGAGCCAGAAAAUGGAAUUCAACAAGCCAUUAUAUCCCCCACUCCUCUUCUCUUUCCAGUCUUAAAAGAGUCUUCUCCUCAUUUCUACUUCAUCCUUUAUCUGUCCAGAAAGGAAGAGGAGAGCUGAGAAAUCUGGAGAGGACUGGCAGGAGAAAUGUCUAGACAGAAGGCACAGGGAGCCAAUGCCUGUCCUGCCA